rnacentral:lncRNA from 1 species
CCUUGUUCCUGUCUCCCCAGAAGAGUGAACACAACACUGGCUGCUUUGCUCUUUGCUGGUUGUAUGGUUGCCUUCUCAUCUCUUCAUACCGCUUUUGAGUACUCCUAAGGGGCUGAUGAAUUCCUAAUGUGCAUGAGGGAAAAAGUAAUCAAGUCCGUGCUUCAGGAUUCACCACUCCUCACAGCAGGGGUGCCAUCUGUCCUGGAGGAUCCAGUCUGCCCCCUGGGAGCCCUGUCACCUGCUGACUUCCCUGACUACCUCUACAAAGAACGAAUGACACUGAGUAUAUUGAAGUGAGUCUUUUCUGUCCCUUUUUCCAACAUCAUUUGAGCCUUUAACAAGAG